rnacentral:rRNA from 1 species
CCUACGGGCGGCAGCAGUGAGGAAUAUUGGUCAAUGGCCGGAAGGCUGAACCAGCCAUGCCGCGUGAAGGUCAGUGCCCUAUGGGCGUUAAACUUCUUUUGUGCGGGAGCAAUAAUGGUCACGUGUGGCCAGACGAGAGUACCGUACGAAUAAGCAUCGGCUAACUCCGUGCCAGCAGCCGCGGUAAUACGGGGGAUGCAAGCGUUAUCCGGAUUUAUUGGGUUUAAAGGGUGCGUAGGCUGUGAGGUAAGUCAGCGGUGAAAUGCCCCCGCUCAACGGGGUGAAGUGCCAUUGAUACUGCCUGGCUGGAAUGCGGAUGCCGUGGGAGGAAUGUGUGGUGUAGCGGUGAAAUGCAUAGAUAUCACACAGAACACCGAUUGCGAAGGCAUCUCACGAAUCCGCGAUUGACGCUGAUGCACAAAAGCGUGGGUAUCAAACAGGAUUAGAUACCCGAGUAGUC